rnacentral:rRNA from 1 species
GACGAACACUGGCGGCGUGCUUAACACAUGCAAGUCGAACGGAAAGGCCCUGCUUUUGUGGGGUGCUCGAGUGGCGAACGGGUGAGUAACACGUGAGUAACCUGCCCUUGACUUUGGGAUAACUUCAGGAAACUGGGGCUAAUAUCGGAUAGGAGCUCUUGCAGCACGGUGGGGGAUGGAAAGUUUCGGCGGUUGGGGAUGGACUCGCGGCUUAUCAGCUUGUUGGUGGGGUAGUGGCUUACCAAGGCUUUGACGGGUAGCCGGCCUGAGAGGGUGACCGGCCACAUUGGGCCUGAGAUACGGCCCAGACUCCUACGGGAGGCAACAGUGGGAAAUAUUGCACAAUGGGCGGAAGCCUGAUGCAGCAACGCCGCGUGCGGGAUGACGGCCUUCGGGUUAUAAACCGCUUUCGCCUGUGACGAGGCGUGAGUGACGGUAAUGGGUAAAGAAGCACCGGCUAACUACGUG